UUUUUGGACGAAAACUGACGNUGAGGCGCGAAAGCCAGGGGAGCGAACGGGAUUAGAUACCCCGGUAGUNCUGGCCGUAAACGAUGGGUACUAGGUGUAGGAGGUAUCGACCCCUUCUGUGCCGGAGUUAACGCAAUAAGUACCCCGCCUGGGGAGUACGACCGCAAGGUUGAAACUCAAAGGAAUUGACGGGGGCCCGCACAAGCGGUGGAGUAUGUGGUUUAAUUCGACGCAACGCGAAGAACCUUACCAGGUCUUGACAUUGAUGGACGAAACAAGAGAUUGUUUUUCUCCUUCGGGAGCCAGAAAACAGGUGGUGCACGGCUGUCGUCAGCUCGUGUCGUGAGAUGUUGGGUUAAGUCCCGCAACGAGCGCAACCCCUAUCUUAUGUUGCCAGCACUACGGGUGGGAACUCAUGAGAGACUGCCGCAGACAAUGCGGAGGAAGGCGGGGAUGACGUCAAGUCAUCAUGCCCCUUAUGACCUGGGCUACACACGUACUACAAUGGGAGUUAAUGGAGGGAAGCGAAGCCGCGAGGUGGAGCAAACCCCAGAAACACUCUCUCAGUUCGGAUUGCAGGCUGCAACUCGCCUGCAUGAAGUCGGAAUCGCUAGUAAUCGCAGGUCAGCAUACUGCGGUGAAUACGUUCCCGGGCCUUGUACACACCGCCCGUCACACCACGAAAGUCGGAAGUGCCCAAAGCCGGUGGGGUAACCUUCGGGAGCCAGCCGUCUAAGGUAAAGUCGAUGAUUGGGGUGAAGUCGUAACAAGGUAGCCGUCA
rnacentral:rRNA from 1 species